GGGCUCCUCAUAUAAUGGUAAUAUAACAGGCUUUUAAUCUGUUUACGAGGGUUCAAUUCCCCCGGGGCUCA
rnacentral:tRNA from 1 species